GGGGACGUUAAUCGGAUACUGCGGCGUAAGCGUGUGUAGGCGGUUCGGAAAGAAAGAUGUGAAAUCCCAGGGCUCAACCUUGGAACUGCAUUUUUAACUGCCGAGCUAGAGUAUGUCAGAGGGGGGUAGAAUUCCACGUGUAGCAGUGAAAUGCGUAGAUAUGUGGAGGAAUACCGAUGGCGAAGGCAGCCCCCUGGGAUAAUACUGACGCUCAGACACGAAAGCGUGGGGAGCAAACAGGAUUAGAUACCCUGGUAGUCCACGCCCUAAACGAUGUCAACUAGCUGUUGGGGCCGUUAGGCCUUAGUAGCGCAGCUAACGCGUGAAGUUGACCGCCUGGGGAGUACGGUCGCAAGAUUAAAACUCAAAGGAAUUGACGGGGACCCGCACAAGCGGUGGAUGAUGUGGAUUAAUUCGAUGCAACGCGAAAAACCUUACCUACCCUUGACAUGUCUGGAAAGCCGAAGAGAUUUGGCCGUGCUCGCAAGAGAACCGGAACACAGGUGCUGCAUGGCUGUCGUCAGCUCGUGUCGUGAGAUGUUGGGUUAAGUCCCGCAACGAGCGCAACCCUUGUCAUUAGUUGCUACGCAAGAGCACUCUAAUGAGACUGCCGGUGACAAACCGGAGGAAGGUGGGGAUGACGUCAAGUCCUCAUGGCCCUUAUGGGUAGGGCUUCACACGUCAUACAAUGGUCGGGACAGAGGGUCGCCAACCCGCGAGGGGGAGCCAAUCUCAGAAACCCGAUCGUAGUCCGGAUCGCAGUCUGCAACUCGACUGCGUGAAGUCGGAAUCGCUAGUAAUCGCGGAUCAGAAUGUCGCGGUGAAUACGUUCCCGGGUCUUGUACACACCGCCCGUCACACCAUGGGGAGUGGGUUUCACCAGAAGUAGGUAGCCUAACCGUAAGGAGGGCGCUUACCACGGUGGGAUUAUGACGGGGUGAUUAGAAGGGGGGGGGGGAAAAAAAAAAAAAAAGGAAAGCG
rnacentral:rRNA from 1 species